GCGGCCAUGGCGGAACUGGUAGACGCGCAACGUUGAGGUCGUUGUGGGAGAAAUCCCGUGGAGGUUCAAGUCCUCUUGGCCGCACCA
rnacentral:tRNA from 1 species